rnacentral:rRNA from 1 species
GACGAACGCUGGCGGCGUGCUUAACACAUGCAAGUCGAACGGAAAGGCCCCUUUCGGGGUGUUCGAGUGGCGUGCGGGGGGGAAAAACGCGAGUCACCUGCCCCUCCCUCCGCGUUAUCUUCAGGAAACUGGGGCUAAUAUAGCUGAGGAAUGCUUGUUUCAUGGUGGGGGUUGGUAAGUUUGGUCGGUGUAGGAUGGGCUCGCGGCCUAUCAGCUUGUUGGUGGGGUAGUGGCUUACCAAGGCGUCGACGGGUAGCCGGCCUGAGAGGGCGACCGGCCACGUUGGGACUGGGAUACGGCCCAGACUCCUACGGGAGGCAGCAGUGGGGAGUAUUGCACAAUGGGCGGAAGCCUGAUGCAGCUGCGCCGCGUGGGGGAUGACGGCCUUCGGGUUGUAAACCGCUUUCAGCAGGGGCGAAGCUUGUGGUGACGGUACCUGGAUAAGAAGCACCGGCUAACUACGUG